rnacentral:rRNA from 1 species
GACGAACGCUGGCGGCGUGCCUAAUACAAGCAAGUCGAACGAAGCUGUUUUAACUGGUGCUUGCACCGACUUAAACAACUGAGUGGCGAACGGGUGAGUAACACGUGGGUAACCUGCCCCAAAGCGGGGGAUAACAUUUGGAAACAGAUGCUAAUACCGCAUAACCACAGAAACCACAUGGUUUCUGUGUCAAAGAUGGUUUCGGCUAUCACUUUGGGAUGGACCCGCGGCGUAUUAGCUAGUUGGUAAGGUAAUGGCUUACCAAGGCAAUGAUACGUAGCUGAAAUGAGAAGUUGAUCGGCCACAUUGGGACUGAGACACGGCCCAAACUCCUACGGGAGGCAGCAGUAGGGAAUCUUCCACAAUGGACGAAAGUCUGAUGGAGCAACGCCGCGUGAGUGAAGAAGGUUUUCGGAUCGUAAAACUCUGUUGUCAGAGAAGAACGUGUGCGAGAGUAACUGCUCGUGCAGUGACGGUAUCUGGCCAGAAAGCCACGGCUAACUACGUGCCAGCCGCCGCGGUAA